UACGUAGGGGGCUAGCGUUGUCCGGAAUCAUUGGGCGUAAAGAGCGUGUAGGCGGUCCGGUAAGUCCGCUGUGAAAGUCGGGGGCUCAACCCUCGAAUGCCGGUGGAUACUGUCGGGCUAGAGUGCGGAAGAGGCGAGUGGAAUUCCUGGUGUAGCGGUGAAAUGCGCAGAUAUCAGGAGGAACACCUAUUGCGAAGGCAGCUCGCUGGGACGUAACUGACGCUGAGGAACGAAAGCCAGGGGAGCAAACGGG
rnacentral:rRNA from 1 species